rnacentral:lncRNA from 1 species
GUUUUUGGGGAUAGUUAAGCCCAGGCCUUAAGACAGUUUGAUAUUCAGUUUUGUUAUUUAGGUCUGGGUUAGGGAUACCGCCAGAGAGCAUCCAAACAUUUCUGUGGUUGGGAAGGCUAGUUAUCUGUGAGCAUUCCAGAUGAAAUAGCCUAUAAUGGGUUAUCACCUUUUGAUCUUACCUCAGAGAAGAUUGAAUUGGAUCUACCUAUCUGAUUUAGCAGAAUUAAACUGGAUUUGGAUGGAAGGGUAAUCAGCUAUUUAAUUUGCCAGUUGUUAGUUAGCAUUUCUUCUUGCUGUAUCUCAAGGAUUUACUUUGAAUAUUCUGUAUUUUCUCUUUCCUGCCCAUGAUGGGUUUUCCUUUUAAAAUGCUCAGCACAGGCUGGGUGUGGUGGCUCACGGAUCUGCCAGCCUUGGCUUCCCAAAGUGCUAGGAUUACAGGCAUGAGCCACUGCACUCAGCUAGAAGAAUUCUGAUAGGCUCUGAGCAUCCAUUGUUCCAGGUAUAACAAUUCUGACUUUUUCAGAUACUCUGAUGCUUUUAUGGUAUCCUGCUUGCUGCUGUCUUCUUUUGAAAUUGGAGUUCAAUCACUCUGCUUUUCUUUCUUAAUACUUGUCUGUUUCCUAGAUUUUACAUGCUUUUCCAUGAACACUAAUUUCCUGUAUGAAGAGGGAAUAUACAAAUGAUAGGAUGCUUUCCUGUAACUGAGAUGGCAGGGGGAAGGAGAGGACAGCAACUCAUACAGAAGGAAAUCAGCUUUUGUUGAGCACCCAGAAUUUACCAGAUCAGAUAGAGAGGACAGGUGUAGAAGAAAAUGAGCAUGUAUAAAGUGGAAUAGUGGGACAAUAAAGUACAAAUAUGGAAAAUUAAGUGGAAGGCUUUUAAUGCUGUUAGGGAACUUGGAUUGGGUUAGUAAGUUAUGAGACUGACAUUUUUGAUCCUUGAAAUGUCAUAAUCAGAGGUGAAUUAUAGGUUAUAUAAUCCAAUAGUUUAGAUAAUUAAUUAAAUUGGGAAAUAAGUCAUAGGACCAAUAAAGAAGUGUUUUGAGAGUUUCUCUUAAGGAAUGAAGACCUAACGAGAAUAGCGGCACCGCAGUAGAAGUGUUGCUAAAGUACAUUGGACAGAAAUAAGCAAUUGGAUAUUGGGAAAGAAAGGGAUGAAUAAAAGGUGACAUGAGAUGUUAAGCCUGGGUGAUGGAGAGAAUGUGAUCUCAGCAGGUUUGUGGGUGGAGGUAAAAAUAAGUUUUGUUCUAGAUCUCUUGCUUUUGAGGUGCUGGUAGGAUAUUCCUGUGGAGAUGUGUAGUAGAAUCCGAAGUGUGAAACUGGAACUUGGAGGGAGAGAUCAAGGCUGGAAAUAAAACAUGUAUGAGUAAGGAGAGUUAAAAAUAAAGAGAAAAAGAGAGCAUUUGUUAGCUGGAGUAAAAGGAAGGGUACAGGAAAAGCAUCAUAGAGAAGAGAGAAUUUGAUCUGACUUUAAAAGAUGCCGAGUCGGUAUAUGGCAUUCUGUUCACGAGCUUUCCUUGUUGAGGGGACAUCACAUUUACUAACUUGAGAGAUAAUACAUGGGAAGUGUUGGACAAAGGAUACUGCAUCCAGAAUGACCUUUCUAAACUACAAAAUCAUUUCCCCUCUUUCCUGCUUAACCCUCCCUCAGUGGCUUCUUAUCUUUCUUCAGAUAAAGGACUGACUCCUAAAUGUCUUCAUCAUCACCAAUUUGAACACACAUUGUGUCUCACACUCCUCCUCGUUCCUCACUCUUCUUCCCCAAGACUGGACAGAAUGUGAAGAAGAUAUGAUUUCCACCAGAUGGAGUACUCUUUAUACUUUUUUGGGGUCCUUUAUGGUUACUUUUUGUGGCCAUGGUCAGGUUCUUAUCCAUAAAAUAAUUAUUGAUAACUUCCUAAUGUAAAAUGAAAAAUAAUGAUAAAUCACAUACUUCCCUCAUUUUUACAGAAUUCCUUGCUUGCCUUAUCUCUUCAAGUGUUGACUGCAAGGUUCCUGUACACUUACUUGAGUUGGCCACUCCGGUCACUAUACCCUGAUCUCUGACACUUGGCCGUGGUAGCCUGGAGCAGCAUUGUUACUGGGCAUUGCUGUGAUUGGGUUACCCAGCUGUGCUGAUGUGGAAACCUCAGGGCUAUUUAUUGAUACUUGGUUUCCUAAAGGAAAGUUGAGGGAAUGUAUUUUAUGAGAGGGCUUUAUUUACACGAUUAAAGAGGUUUAUAAAAUGUGGAGAUGAAUAUAGGUGAAACAGAGAAAGAAUGCUGGUAUAGGAGGUGUUUUCGGCUGGGUUUGGUGGCUCAUACCCGUAAUCCCAGCACUUUGGGAGGCUGAGGCGGGUGGAUCACUUGAGUCCAGCCUGGGCGGCGUAGUGAGACCCAUCUCUACAAAAACUACAAAAAUUAGCUGGGCAUUGUGUUGCAUGCUUGUAGUCCUGGCUACUCAGGAGGCUGAGGUGAGAGGAUUGCUUGAGCCCAGGAAGCAGAGGUUGCAGUGAGCCAAGAUCGUGCCACUGCACUCCAGACUGGGCAAUAGAGUGAGACCCUAUCUCAGAAAACAAACAAAAAUCCCCAAAAAACCAGGAAGUGUUUUCUUAGGGUCUAGUUCCCAGGCGAAUGGUAUAUCCUGAUUCUAGGUUUAUAAAAAUAGUAUAUUAUUCAUAACAUUUGUCUAAAGUGACACAUUUACAUACAGUAUAUAGUAUUGAGUAAUUUCCAACUCUUUAAAAAUAAUGGAGACCCUUUCAUGUAGUAGUAACUAUGUUUUUAGUAUCUGUUGACUGAGAAAAUACGUAACAGCAAAAGCUACUAUAAAACUUUGAAAUAAGUUCUUGUAAAUGUAAAAAAAAUUCUCAUAUAUUUGGAAAGUAUACAUGUGGAAAUUAUGACUUAUAGAGUCUAUGGACACUUGAUUUCUUGCUUUAUGGAUACUCUCAGGAAGUUCUGGUCUCAACUUUGAGUAUCUCAUUGUCCUCUUACUUUAGAAUGUGGGGUAUGGGGGAAAACUUCUAUUUGAAAAUUUGAGCCAUAGCGGAAAUUUUGGAAUGACAGGGAAACACCUUCUCAGAAUCCUCUUACAAUAAAAUUUAUAUAUGUUAUGCCAGACAAUGUACUUUAUACUAAGACUGGACUUUUAAAUAGUCUCAUGGAUUAGAAGUCAGAUACAAUAAAUAAAUACUUUUUAAAAAUUAUAUUUUUAGGUAUAUGAGCAUUGUUGUUGGGACUACAGUGCUAUUUUAAAGUGAAAUUUAGUUGAUUUGCAUGUGAGUAUACACCUACAGGUCUCUGUUAUAGCCGUGACAUGUCUUCUGUUACUAUAAAUUACAUAACAAAUCCUUAUGGUUUCUUGGGUCACUUAUUUUAUUUAAAGACAAAAACAUCUUUCAGUACAUAUGUAAGACUUAAGGCAUUAUUGAAAAUAAGCCUGUGCUACAUGGUAGAAUCUAUUAAAAAAAAAAAAAC